rnacentral:tRNA from 1 species
AGGAUUGUAGUUAAUUAUAACAUUUGGGUUGCAUUCAAAAAGUACUAUAAAGUCUAUCUUU